CAGUGAGUUCCAGCAACGCCACCUCGUAGAACAUCUUCUCAGCCUGGAUGAACUGGAGCGCUUUCACAUCUGUUUAUACUGGUGAAGGAUUAACAGCGGUGUCAACUAUCCCAGCGCGCCACGGAAAAAUACAGACGGGCUAGGUCAUCAACAGCAAUGAGGCUCAUGAACAGACCACGUUCAUGAAUGAAGGGCUGUGCAGGCCCUGGUGGUAUAACCAUGGAAACCAUUGAAAUGUCAGGAGGGCUGUCACGUGGAGUGUCACGUCACGUCACACUCUGGGAUUUACUUCACCUCGAGACGGGCCUGAGCUUUUCCAGUGAUGUCCGGAAUCAAUAAGGACAACCUCCCAGCAAGUCCCUUCUAUCGCCCAGAGUAAACCCGCACAGCCAUUAACGUGGAGGGAAUGGAGGUGCAUCGAUCCUUCACCACCACUCAUAAAUAUCCCACCUUUAAGGCAAAGGCCCUGCAGAUAAUUAAUAAUCACCUACUGUAACCCUUAUAGUUUAGAGUUGUCUGAAAUUCACUAGUUAAUUUGCUUCAUUCAGACAAUUAGGUACUGUAGGAGUGAGUUUCUAAUAUUUUCCAGGUAUACAUCGUUAGUGUGAUAAAAUAACAAGCCUGUUUACAUGUUCCAUUAAGUUACUAUACCAUAUGCUACUUUGUUUAUUCAAUAAAUCUCAUUUGCACACAGUUCUAUUCAUAACGCCAAGGCAUAACAGCACAUACGGCCGAGACUAAUGAAGCAAAUAUACUGGAUGCCUUGAGAAUAUCGUACUGAAUUUGAUUGUACUGCUCAGUCCUACUUCUUACAGUAAAUAAUGAAACCCCACUUUGCCUCUCUGCAUAUGAUUAGUGUGAUUAGAAGACAAUUUGGAAAACGAAAUGCUGAAAGAAUACAUGCAGAUGAAUUGCUUAUGUGUCAAUCACUUCAGACAAAAAUAAUUCCAAGAAUUAAGAUCGCAAUCAAGAAAAGUGCAAAAAUUGUGCAAAAAAUCUGCUGUGAGACCAUUAAAAGGAACCAAAGAGAUUCCCUAUUCCCCAUACCACAGCUACAUCUGUACCAGCGAGGACAGUAUUUAACAAUUCAUUUGCACAUAAAUACUGUAUAUGAAAUGCAACACAAUUCAAAUAGAGAGGUU